AUACGGAGGGUCCAAGCGUUAUCCGGAAUCAUUGGGUUUAAGGGUCCGCAGGCGGUCAAUUAAGUCAGAGGUGAAAGCCCAUCGCUCAACGAUGGAACUGCCUUUGAUACUGGUUGACUUGAGUUAUACGGAAGUAGAUAGAAUAAGUAGUGUAGCGGUGAAAUGCAUAGAUAUUACUUAGAAUACCGAUUGCGAAGGCAGUCUACUACGUAUAUACUGACGCUGAGGGACGAAAGCGUGGGGAGCGAACAGGAUUAGAAACCCUAGUAGUCC
rnacentral:rRNA from 1 species